rnacentral:rRNA from 1 species
UACGAAGGGGGCUAGCGUGGCUCGGAAUCACUGGGCGUAAAGGGUGCGUAGGCGGGUCUUUAAGUCAGGGGGGAAAUCCUGGAGCUCAACUCCAGAACUGCCUUUGAUACUGAAGAUCUUGAGUUCGGGAGAGGUGAGUGGAACUGCGAGUGUAGAGGUGAAAUUCGUAGAUAUUCGCAAGAACACCAGUGGCGAAGGCGGCUCACUGGCCCGAUACUGACGCUGAGGCACGAAAGCGUGGGGAGCAAACAGG